AGCGAACGCUGGCGGCAGGCUUAACACAUGCAAGUCGAGCGGGCACUUUCGGGUGUCAGCGGCGGACGGGUGAGUAACGCGUGGGAACGUGCCCUCUGGUUCGGAAUAACUCAGGGAAACUUGAGCUAAUACCGGAUACGCCCUUUUGGGGAAAGGCUUGCUGCCGGAGGAUCGGCCCGCGUCUGAUUAGCUAGUUGGUGAGGUAACGGCUCACCAAGGCGACGAUCAGUAGCUGGUCUGAGAGGAUGAUCAGCCACACUGGGACUGAGACACGGCCCAGACUCCUACGGGAGGCAGCAGUGGGGAAUAUUGGACAAUGGGCGCAAGCCUGAUCCAGCCAUGCCGCGUGAGUGAUGAAGGCCUUAGGGUUGUAAAGCUCUUUUAUCCGGGACGAUAAUGACGGUACCGGAGGAAUAAGCCCCGGCUAACUUCGUGC
rnacentral:rRNA from 1 species